GACGAACGCUGGCGGCGCGCUUAACACAUGCAAGUCGAGCGAGAACCGGCCUUCGGGCCGGGGAAAGCGGCGAACGGGUGAGUAACACGUGGGUAAUCUGCCCUCGGCACCGGGAUAGCCCGGGGAAACCCGGAUUAAUACCGGAUGGCCCUUUGAGUCCUCGGAUUCAAAGGAAAAGGUAGCUUCGGCCUCCGGCCGAGGAUGAUCCCGCGGCGGAUUAGCUUGUUGGUUGGGUAACGGCCUACCAAGGCGACGAUCCGUAGCUGGUCUGAGAGGACGAUCAGCCACACUGGGACUGAGACACGGCCCAGACUCCUACGGGAGGCAGCAGUGGGGAAUCUUGCGCAAUGGGCGAAAGCCUGACGCAGCGACGCCGCGUGAGGGAAGAAGGCCUUCGGGUUGUAAACCUCUUUCAGGAGGGACGAAGCCACUCGGGUUAAUAGCCCAGAGGGUGACGGUACCUCCAGAAGAAGCCCCGGCUAACUACGUGCCAGCCGCCGCCGUAAGAC
rnacentral:rRNA from 1 species